GAGUGGAACGACAAUAAAGAAGAGAGCCGCUGCCCAAACCAUUUUAAGAGCCGCAGCCCGAGGACUUCAGAGGGACAGGUGCUGAUCUGAGGCUCAUUGAUGCAGCACAGCUUCACCCCCCGGACCCCCCCCCCCCUGCUGCCACUGCUGCCAGCAUAGAUGCCCAGUGACCAGUAACAAGAGCCAUUCAUCGCAUGGGAAAGUCAGCUGAAUUAGAAGAGGGCAGAAUAUACACAGCGCCAUAUAAGGAUGCUGUAGAGAUACAUGAGCUGUAUCUCUCUCAAUACGUAAACAAAUAAACAAACAUUCACGUUUUAUAAGAAAGAAAUCCUCCCAUCACUGUUUCAAAUAAAAUGUUAUACAUC